rnacentral:rRNA from 1 species
GGGGAAUAUUGCACAAUGGGCGCAAGCCUGAUGCAGCGACGCCGCGUGGGGGAUGAAGGCCUUCGGGUUGUAAACUCCUUUCGCUAGGGACGAAGCUUUUUGGUGACGGUACCUAGAUAAGAAGCACCGGCUAACUACGUGCCAGCAGCCGCGGUAAUACGUAGGGUGCGAGCGUUGUCCGGAAUUACUGGGCGUAAAGGGCUCGUAGGUGGUUUGUCGCGUCGUCUGUGAAAUUCUGGGGCUUAACUCCGGGCGUGCAGGCGAUACGGGCAUAACUUGAGUGCUGUAGGGGUAACUGGAAUUCCUGGUGUAGCGGUGAAAUGCGCAGAUAUCAGGAGGAACACCGAUGGCGAAGGCAGGUUACUGGGCAGUUACUGACGCUGAGGAGCGAAAGCAUGGGUAGCGAACAGGAUUAGAUACCCUGGUAGUCCAUGCCGUAAACGGUGGGCGCUAGGUGUGAGGGUCUUUCUACGACUUUCGUGCCGUAGCUAACGCAUUAAGCGCCCCGCCUGGGGAGUACGGCCGCAAGGCU